CCUACGGGAGGCAGCAGUCGAGAAUCAUUCACAAUGGGGGAAACCCUGAUGGCGCGACGCCGCGUGGGGGAAUGAAGGUCUUCGGAUUGUAAACUCCUUUCAUGUGGGAGCAAAUUAAAAAGAUAGUCCCCCAAGAGGAAGAGACGGCUAACUAUGUGCCAGCAGCCGCGGUAAUACAGAGGUCCCAAGAGUUUUUCGGAAUCACUGGGCGUAAAGCGUGCGUUGGUUGUGUCGUAAGGCAUGUGUGAAAGGAUCGGGCUCAACGCGCGGACGGCAGGUGACACUGUGAGACUAGAGGAAUGGAGAGGGAAGCGGAAUUCGUGGUGUAGCAGUGAAAUGCGUAGAUAUCGGGAGGAACACUCGUGGCGAAGGCGGGUUCCUGGACAUUAACUGACGCUGAGGCACGAAAGCCAGGGGAGCGAAAGGGAUUAGAUACCCGGGUAGUC
rnacentral:rRNA from 1 species